rnacentral:rRNA from 1 species
GAUGAACGCUGGCGGCGUGCUUAACACAUGCAAGUCGAACGAUGAAGCCCAGCUUGCUGGGUGGACUAGUGGCGAACGGGUGAGUAACACGUGAGUAACCUGCCCUUAACUCUGGGGUAAGCCUGGGGAACUGGGGGUAAUAUACGAUAUGAGCGCCUACCGCACGGUGGGUGUUGGAAAGAUUUAUCGGUUUUGGGUGUAGUCGCGGCCUAUCGGCUUGUUGUGGUGGUAUUGGCGCACCACGGCGACGUCGGGUAUCCGGCCUGUGAGGGUGACCGGCCCCACUGGGACGGGGACACGGCCCAGAUUCCUACGGGGGGCAGCGGUGGGGAAUAUGGCACAAGGGGCGAAAGCCUGAUGCAGCGACGCCGCGUGAGGAAGGACGGCCUUCGGGUGGUAAACCUCUUUCAGUAGGGAAGAAGCGAAAGUGACGGUACCGGCAGAAGAAGCACCGGCUAACUACGU